UACGUAUGGUGCAAGCGUUAUCCGGAUUUACUGGGUGUAAAGGGAGCGCAGGCGGCACGGCAAGCCUGAUGUGAAAGCCCGCGGCCCAACCGCGGGACUGCAUUGGGAACUACCGGGCUGGAGUGCCGGAGAGGUAGACGGAAUUCCUAGUGUAGCGGUGAAAUGCGUAGAUAUUAGGAGGAACACCAGUGGCGAAGGCGGUCUGCUGGACAGCAACUGACGCUGAGGCGCGAAAGCGUGGGGAGCAAACAGG
rnacentral:rRNA from 1 species